rnacentral:lncRNA from 1 species
GUUUUGUGACUGGGUUGGUGCCUUGCCUGCUAAUCUGGUUUCUGAAUGUUCUCCUCUAAGGACCUUGGCUAGGGUGAGAGAAACUGAAAACUGUGACCUCUAGUGGACACGGAAAGAUAUUUGAGUUUUCAUUUCUUUAUUGGGAUGGUGGAUGACUCCAAGAAAACAGCAGGGCAGGUAACAAACUCACAAAGAUUGACAGCGGUGCACAAGACCGGCACCAGUUCAAACCAGACAAAAAUCUCAGCACAGAGAAUGAAUGGAAAUGAACCCAAAGUCCCACCCCCUCAUCAAGAAGCCUUCUGCAGAGGCAUCCCCAAAUGGAGUAGAGUUGUGCUUCCCUGUGCUGCUGUCAGUGGGCUGUGAAGUUUGAAGAUAAGCAUGGCUUACCUAGGUGCUCACUGAAUGGAACCUGAUGCUAC